rnacentral:rRNA from 1 species
UCAGUUAUCGUUUAUUUGAUAGCACCUUACUACUUGGAUAACCGUGGUAAUUCUAGAGCUAAUACAUGCUGAAAAUCCCGACUUCGGAAGGGAUGUAUUUAUUAGAUUAAAAACCAAUGCCCUCCGGGGCUCACUGGUGAUUCAUGAUAACUUCUCGAAUCGCAUGGCCUUGCGCCGGCGAUGGUUCAUUCAAAUUUCUGCCCUAUCAACUUUCGACUGCUGGGUCUUGGCCAGCAAUGGUGACAACGGGUAACGGAGGGUUAGGGCUCGACCCCGGAGAAGGAGCCUGAGAAACGGCUACUACAUCCAAGGAAGGCAGCAGGCGCGCAAAUUACCCAAUCCCGACACGGGGAGGUAGUGACAAUAAAUACUGAUACAGGGCUCUUUUGGGUCUUGUAAUUGGAAUGAGUACAAUUUAAAUCCCUUAACGAGGAACAAUUGGAGGGCAAGUCUGGUGCCAGCAGCCGCGGUAAUUCCAGCUCCAAUAGCGUAUAUUAAAGUUGUUGCAGUUAAAAAGCUCGUAGUUGAACCUUGGGCCUGGCCGGCCGGUCCGCCUCACCGCGUGCACUGGUUCGGCCGGGCCUUUUCCUCUGGCGAGCCCCAUGCCCUUCACUGGGCGUGUGGGGGAACCAGGACUUUUACUUUGAAAAAAUUAGAGUGUUCAAAGCAGGCCUAUGCUCGAAUACAUUAGCAUGGAAUAAUAGAAUAGGACGUGCGGUUCUAUUUUGUUGGUUUCUAGGACCGCCGUAAUGAUUAAUAGGGACAGUCGGGGGCAUCAGUAUUCAAUUGUCAGAGGUGAAAUUCUUGGAUUUAUUGAAGACUAACUACUGCGAAAGCAUUUGCCAAGGAUGUUUUCAUUAAUCAGGAACGAAAGUUAGGGGAUCGAAGACGAUCGGAUC